UACGGAGGGGGCUAGCGUUGUUCGGAAUUACUGGGCGUAAAGGGCGCGUAGGCGGCGCGGUCAGUUGGGUGUGAAAGGCCCGGGCUCAACCCGGGAUGUGCGCUCGAUACUACCGCGCUGGAGUCCGGGAGAGGAUGGCGGAAUUCCCAGUGUAGAGGUGAAAUUCGUAGAUAUUGGGAAGAACACCGGUGGCGAAGGCGGCCAUCUGGACCGGCACUGACGCUGAGGCGCGAAAGCGUGGGGAGCAAACAGG
rnacentral:rRNA from 1 species